GAUGAACGCUAGCUACAGGCUUAACACAUGCAAGUCGAGGGGAAACGACAUCGAAAGCUUGCUUUUGAUGGGCGUCGACCGGCGCACGGGUGAGUAACGCGUAUCCAACCUGCCCAUCACUUGGGAAUAACCUUGCGAAUGUAAGACUAAUACCCAAUGACAUCCCACGAAGACAUCUGAAUGGGAUUUAAGAUUUAUCGGUGAUGGAUGGGGAUGCGUCUGAUUAGCUUGUUGGCGGGGUAACGGCCAACCAAGGCAACGAUCAGUAGGGGUUCUGAGAGGAAGGUCCCCCACAUUGGAGCUGAGACACGGUCCAAACUCCUACGGGAGGCAGCAGUGAGGAAUAUUGGUCAAUGGGCGAGAGCCUGAACCAGCCAAGUAGCGUGCAGGAUGACGGCCCUAUGGGUUGUAAACUGCUUUUAUAAGGGAAUAAAGUGGGUCUCGUGAGACUUUUUGCAUGUACCUUAUGAAUAAGGACCGGCUAAUUCCGUG
rnacentral:rRNA from 1 species